rnacentral:rRNA from 1 species
UGAACGCUGGUGGCGUGCUUAACACAUGCAAGUCGCGCGUGAAAGGACUUCGGUCCGRGUAAAGCGGCGCACGGGUGAGUAACGCGUGGAUGAUCUACCCAUGAGUUGGGAAUAACGGCUGGAAACGGUCGCUAAUACCRAAUACGCUCCGAUUUCAACUUCGGGGGAAAGGUGGCCUCUGCUUGCAAGCUACUGCUCAUGGAUGAGUCCGCGUCCCAUUAGCUAGUUGGUGGGGUAACGGCCCACCAAGGCGACGAUGGGUAGCCGGUCUGAGAGGAUGACCGGCCACACUGGGACUGGAACACGGCCCAGACUCCUACGGGAGGCAGCAGUGGGGAAUAUUGCGCAAUGGGCGAAAGCCUUCACCCAGCMACCCCGCGUUAGGGAUGAAGGUCCUCGGAUCYUAAACCUCUGUUCAGGAGGGAAGAACCCCACCGUGCUAAUCAGCCGUUGUCUUACGGUACCUCCAAAGGAAGAACCSGGUUACUCCUUUCCAACAACCCCGGUUAAA